GGAAUAUUGGACAAUGGGCGCAAGCCUGAUCCAGCCAUGCCGCGUGAGUGAUGACGGCCUUAGGGUUGUAAAGCUCUUUCGCACGCGACGAUAAUGACGGUAGCGUGAGAAGAAGCCCCGGCUACCUUCGUGCCAGCAGCCGCGGUAAUACGAAGGGGGCUAGCGUUGUGCGGAAUCACUGGGCGUAAAGCGCACGUAGGCGGAUUGUUAAGUCGGGGGUGAAAUCCUGAGGCUCAACCUAAGAACUGCCUUCGAUACUGGCAAUCUCGAGUCCGGAAGAGGUUGGUGGAACAGCUAGUGUAGAGGUGAAAUUCGUAGAUAUUAGCCAGAACACCAGUGGCGAAGGCGGCCAACUGGUCCGGUACUGACGCUGAGGUGCGAAAGCGUGGGGAGCAAAC
rnacentral:rRNA from 1 species